CCAGCUGUAACGGCGUUUAAAACGGCGUUUUAUUGAAAUUAUGCAGGGCACUCCCCAUGGUUCCCUCAUCCAAUUACUUUCAACUCAUUUCACCCAAUCAAAGAAGAGGAAGUGCAGACCACACUAAUGCAUCACCGAUUCACCUUGCUGCUAAGUGAUUGCCUAUUCAGUACCAGUGCUUGUUACCCACUAUGCAUUUUGAUGUGUUUAAAGCAUGAUGAAACAAGCAAACGACGGAAUGCUUUUUCUGUAACAAGACCUUAACUUUGUGGCGCAUGGGUCGCUUGUUUACUUGAGGGAUCAGCUAUUAGCGCUGCGCUACCGCAGUGUAGCAUUAUGAUGCUAACGGAGUCCUGGCUAACACCGCAAACUCCGGACAUGAGUGUGGAGCUGCCGGUUUCCAGAUGCUGCGGGCGGACAGGACGAGAGACAGCGGUGAGAGGAAAGGAGGGGGGCUGGCAGUGUUUGUUAAAGACAGUUGUGGGACCCCUGGGCACAUUGCUGUCAAAGAACAACUCUGCAACAACACAGACAUUGAGCUAUUAGCCAUUAGCAUCCGUGGAGGCAGCCUGUGACUCUCUGUGGUCCGCAGACUGCAAACGCAAUCUCCAAGAGCUCUUCUUCUAAUAUCAGGGGACUUUCAUCAUGUCUCGCUGGACUCCACACUGCCCACCUUCAACCAGUAUGUGACCUGCCCCAUCGUAGUCAAUAAAACAUUGUACUUAAUGUAUGCCAAUGAAAAAGUGGCAUACAGUUCAUCACCUCCCUGCCCAGGGAAGAUCUGAUCGUAACCUAGUGUGCCUUGUCCCUGUGUGCAGCACUUAGUGUGCACGGAGCCACUAAUCACCCACGCAGUGCAGAGAUGCUUCGCGGAGGGCAUAAUCAAGCAAAUAAAUGACAGAAUGCUUUUUAUUUCAUGUCGACGUGCAAUUUAUGUAUAGUUGACCGGGAAAUUAAAGCAGCGAUCACUUGGACUAUUCCGUAGCACCCCUUUCACAGUGGUACAUCCCUCCAGGUAACCAUUCACCAGUCUUGUACAGUAGAGCGGGACAUUACGUUUACUCUCAGCGGAAUUCACCCGAGAAGGCAUCAGUUCCUGCACUGCACUGGUCUUCACCACGAUUAGUAUAAGUGGCUUCAAGUGUAGGCGUAGCCUCUACAGGUACUGCAACAGAGGGAGAGCAGAGUCAGGAGGGUCUUGGAAGAAGCAAAUGGAGAUCCGUGUCCAGGGGAGUGAGGCUAUUGCGAGUGUGAAAGGUUGUCCAGGAAGUAACUAAGAAGACAUGAACAGAGAGGUGGUGAUCCUCGGUGGAGUGAUGAAGUAGAGCAGCCAGCACCCCAAGUAGAGCAGGCACUGUGGAAAAAUAGUUGUGACUCAACCAGACCAUUACAAAGUAUGGCCUGGAGGAUUUUCAUCUCAAGGUGCAAGAACAUUCUUAAUGACUGUACACGGCAGCUGCUGAUGGACGAUGUUGGGCCAGAUGUGCUACAGUUAGCGUUAAGGAGGUUGGAGACAAUGCAGAGAAGCCUUCAGUGGGCAAGAGGAA